rnacentral:lncRNA from 1 species
AUUUAAGAAAAAAAAAAAAAAAUAUAUAUAUAUAUAUAAAUAAUUAUAACUGUCUCAGGGGCUAUUAUUUGUCUUUUCUGUCUUCUUAUUCAAUCCCCUAUUGUUGAAUGACUCCACACCCCCAGGAACAGGAAGAGCCAAGUCCAAGAGCAAAGGAGUAUGGGGCAGCAAAACAUCUACAACUGCUGCUAGGCCAGCACUUCCACCUAAUGAAGGCUUGUCUGUUUCCACACCGUCCCCAAACACACCUGGUCCGGCCUUCUUCUGUGACAUCACACUUCAACAGCUGCUGCCUUUGGCCUACAAGCUCAAGUUCUAAGCCCUUGAGCCAGAAUUCAAGGCGCCCCCAUCUGCCCCACUCCAAUUCCCAACUGCCCUCUUUCCACCCGCCCUACAAACUGUUCCAACUGCCCAGCCAGUUCCCAGCCUUCCGAAGACGCCUUGCAGUCUCCCUCUCCUGGGACAAAUGUAAGACGAAUACUCCAAGAAGAACUAAAUGCAGAAAAAUUAUCACUUCAAACACUUAGACCCAAGUACAGUCCUUCCUACCAAAGGGGAAUGGCCAGUCUGAUCUUCUAAAUUACUUGCUCUGAUUAAGCAUGGUUUCACCAAAAACAAAAAAACAAAAAAAAAAAAACUCUUUUGAGCAGUUGUAGAAGUGACUCUAUACAAAGGGCUCUGCCUUAAUUCUCCCAACAACCCCAUGAGACCCUUGUUAUUACUGCACUUUGAAGAUGAACGAACAGACAAAGACCAGCCUGGAACAGGGCUCCAUACUUGGGUCUCUAAGAUUUCAAAGCCCUCCCUGAAACACAAAGCUCUGAUUGUUCCCAUUUUCUCAUUUUCUUUUUUGAGACAGCGUUUUGCUAAGUUGCCCAGGCUGGCCUCGAACCCUUGAUCCUCCUGCCUCAGCCUUCAGAGUGCUGGGAUUACAGAUGUGGGCCACCACACCCAACCGAUUGUUUCCAUUUUCAUGAAUGAGUGCAGUGAGGCCUCCUUUCAUAGAGAAUGAGCUGUUCCACAUAAGUAAACAUUUCAGAUAGUUAAAACCAAUCCUUUGAAAGCCAAUCUUCUUAAAUUUUUUUUAUUUUUUUUGAACCGGGGAUCGAACUCUGGUCCUUGCGCUUGCGCAGCAGGUGGGGAAACCACUGAGCUAAAUCCCUGGCCCCUUAAAUUUUUAAUUCAUUUGAAAUGGAAUUUUCUAAUAUACAGUGUAUGGUUCCGUGGCUUACAAAAGAGAAACAUCUGUGGAAAUGUGCAGAGGAGUGAUUCUGGGCAGGCCGGAAUUCCAGCCUUCAGGUCCUCAGAGAUGCCAGGGAAGGGUAUCUGGUGAGCUAAGCCUGCCACUUGUCACCUAUGGUCACUGUCCAGGGGCAGCUG